GGUGAAAUAUGGAAUAAGAAUGACAAACAUCGUGUAGUAUAAAGAUUUUUUGCACAAAUGCGGAUCAAAACAAGGUUUGAUCAAAAUUAUCAUCACAAUGCCAAGGGAAUGGAGAAUGGAUUAAGCAUUUAGCAAAACAAGUAUUUGUUUUCCUUUUUCAAGUCACAGAAGAAACAUUUAAUGCUUCCCUUGGAAAUAAUUGGCAAGCCUUUGGUUAAACAUAUCCUAGUUGCCCUUAGUUAUUAAGUUAUUAGAAAAGGAACAUGACUUGCAAGAUGCGAUUUGCGUUGAAGUAAGAUACACAAGAUAACACACAAACAACCUACUUCGGACCUUCACUUCGUACUCAUUAUAAGAUGCCCAGACUUGUUAUUGAAUAACAAAGACGAUGAUGAAAUCCAUGUUUUUAGGAAUAGCCCAAUUCAUACGCGGACCAAAGUUUGAUUGACUAGCGCUAUUUCCCAAACGACACAAGAAUAUUGGAUUCGCCGAGGUCGCGCAACAACGAAUUUGGCUGUUAAUACUAUUACAGUAUCUAGGUUUUUCUCUGUUGCGUUUAUGCUUACUAGGCUCAUUCCAAACAUCCCUUAAACAGAGCAUUACAAGGAGAUUUGACUAUCAUCUUCAGAGCCGCAAAGAAAAAAACACUUUUUUGUCAGAAAAAAGACGUCAUUCUAUUAUAAAAUACUCUACAUUCUGAUUAUUCUUGGUUUUUUUUCUCAGAGUCAAAUUAGGUUUUCUUAUUUUCCACAAGAUUCUUUGAGUUUUUGUAGCAGAAGAAUUGGAAGAUUAUGUCUGAGCAAACAAAUGCGCCAAUAAGGCAACUUAAAUCAAAAUUAUAUUCCAGCAUAGAUACGAUUAGAUAGAUUUGAAUUUAAGUUUAAUCCUAACUUAGGAUCUUCUGUCUGUCGAGCAAUAGAGUAAAGAUGUUAUAAUAUUCAAUAAACAUUUAAAGUUCAUCCAAAAUAUGAAUUGUUGCUGAUAACCAAAGCAUGACAUGCAGAUUUUUCAAGGAUGAGUUAGUGUUCCGCAUCUUGAUUUUAGUGACUCAGAGCAAGGAGUCAAAUAUGCUCGUUGCCAAGGAACAAGUCCGUUGAUGGAAGGAGGAUUGAAAACUUUUUUUGUCAUUGUAACAAUGGAUUUAUCAAAAGGUAAAUGAUGUUUGCCAACUUGAUGUUUGUGCCUCAUAUAAACACAGUCAUCUACCAUGGUGCGCAAUCAAAAAUUCAUAACGUUCAAGGAAUAUCAAGAUUACCUCCAGUAAGUUGGGAACAUAUUCGAUUUUUUUGGAAAUUGAUGAAGAAUUUGUGGAAAUGAUUGCAGUGUUACCAAAAAAGCUUAAACCGUCAUCUUCAACGUUGCCAAUGUUUCUCCUAAAAGAAGAUGUCGAUAAUGCCAAAUGAAAAUAUGCUGUUAAAUGUCAUUAGCGUAGCUUAUGUCUGUUGGGACUACGAGGAAUCAAGGCCGUCAAAUUAGAAUUUUAGCAUAAAAAUACAUAAGAAAUUCUAUUUCAUUGGUUAUCGUACGGAUUCCUGGCAUCACCUUUCGGUUGUCCAAUGAAAAUCAGUUUCUACCACUGAUGACUUCUACUGCAAGAUUUGGUUUGGAAGUCUUCCUUAGAAAAAUGCUUCCGCAAUCAAAGCAUAUUCAAGACUGGCUGAAGGCACAUUCCUCAAAUGAAGGAACAUAAAACAAUGUUUUGCUUUGUCGUAAAGCAAAAUGAAAGGUCUUAUUAUAAAGGAAGACUCCAUGCCGCUAAGAAAACAGAAGAGAAAUAAAGAAGAAGUGAGCAUAGGAAUUAAUGUCAAGCAGGCUUCGGAAGCAAAUUUCUUGAGAACAUUUGUCACAAACAAUUUUUGAAGACCAUUUUCACUGCCACACUUAAGGGAGCACGGCAGAAUGUAUUCCUUUUUAACGUGCGAUUGAUAUUAUUACGAAAAUAAACGCGUCAUGUUUGUUUGAGCGCGAGCUGGAUGCGAGAGCAAAAAGCAAAAGCUGGGGGAGGGGGCUGGGGGAAAGAAGGCGAUAAACGAACAAAGACCCUGUUGACAAACAUAAUUCACUUCAUAAUGCGAACCCCGGCCCACUCCCCCAACAGCGCAACUGACAAACACACAUGAGGUGUUAAAUAACAAAGUGGUUUAUGUUCGUAAUAAUAUCAAUCGCGCUGUGAAUAGGAACACAUUCUGCCGUUCUCCCUUGCCACACUCAAACGCUAGUGAAAUAUGCUUAGCUUGCUACUUUUACUCUCACCACAGGUAGCCCAAGCUCUGUCAAUGAGUAAUUGGGACCGACAGGCUAUAGAGAGAACACACAUGGAGAUGUUUACUUUAUGCUAGUAUUCUUCCAUAAAAAUGUAAUAAAUUCAAUUCAACGUGA